GAUGAACGCUGGCGGCGUGCCUAAUACAUGCAAGUCGAGCGAACGGACGAGAAGCUUGCUUCUCUGAUGUUAGCGGCGGACGGGUGAGUAACACGUGGAUAACCUACCUAUAAGACUGGGAUAACUUCGGGAAACCGGAGCUAAUACCGGAUAAUAUUUUGAACCGCAUGGUUCAAAAGUGAAAGACGGUCUUGCUGUCACUUAUAGGUGGAUCCGCGCUGCAUUAGCUAGUUGGUAAGGUAACGGCUUACCAAGGCAACGAUGCAUAGCCGACCUGAGAGGGUGAUCGGCCACACUGGAACUGAGACACGGUCCAGACUCCUACGGGAGGCAGCAGUAGGGAAUAUUCCGCAAUGGGCGAAAGCCUGACGGAGCAACGCCGAGUGAGUGAUGAAGGUCUUCGGAUCGUAAAACUCUGUUAUUAGGGAAGAACAUAUGUGUAAGUAACUGUGCACAUCUUGACGGUACCUAAUCAGAAAGCCACGGCUAACUACGUG
rnacentral:rRNA from 1 species